rnacentral:rRNA from 1 species
CUACAGGGGUUUCUAAUCCUGUUUGCUACCCACGCUUUCGAACCUCAGUGUCAGUAUGAUGCCAGGAGGCUGCCUUCGCCAUCGGUAUUCCUUCAGAUCUCUACGCAUUUCACCGCUACACCUGAAAUUCUACCUCCCUCUCACCUACUCUAGCCCAACAGUAUCAGAUGCAGUUCCCAGGUUAAGCCCGGGGAUUUCACAUCUGACUUAUUAAGCCACCUACGCUCGCUUUACGCCCAGUAAUUCCGAUUAACGCUUGCACCCUCUGUAUUACCGCGGCUGCUGGCAC